CUAAUACUCCCUCCGUCCCAAAAUUCUUGUCUUAGAUUUGUCGGAUGUAUCUAAUACUAAAACGUGACUUGAUACAUCCGUAUUUAGAAAAAUCUAAGACAAGAAUUUUGGGACGGAGUGAGUAUUAC
rnacentral:pre_miRNA from 1 species